rnacentral:rRNA from 1 species
AUGGUGUAUUCAACACUCAAUAGAUCAGUACGAACUGCUAACAAUUCAGUACUAAUUGUUGAAAAUUUUGGCACUGAAUACCUCGGUCAGAGAUGGGAUAAUGCAGAGGAGAGGACAGAGGAGAUCGAACAGGUGCAGGGGAGACGGCGUGCUGGUGCAGGCACAUCCUCCCCCUCCUCCAGCUUCGUGGUCAUCUCUUAUCGACAGCAGCGAGCCGGCGAGGAGGUGGUCGACGGCGGACAGGUAGAGACGGCGGCGGUCGACCCUCAACUCGACGGCAGGCAGCUGCACGCGCUGCGCUCCCUCCUCUUCUCCUCUUUCCCUCCAGUACUGCGGCUUCGUGGUCUACGGCGAGGUGGUUGA